rnacentral:rRNA from 1 species
CCUACGGGGGCGCACCAGUGGGGAAUAUUGCACAAUGGGCGCAAGCCCGAUGCAGCCAUGCCGCGUGUAUGAAGAAGGCCUUCGGGUUGUAAAGUACUUUCAGCGGGGAGGAAGGCGAUAAGGUUAAUAACCUUGUCGAUUGACGUUACCCGCAGAAGAAGCACCGGCUAACUCCGUGCCAGCAGCCGCGGUAAUACGGAGGGGGCAAGCGUUAAUCGGAAUUACUGGGCGUAAAGCGCACGCAGGCGGUCUGUCAAGUCGGAUGUGAAAUUCCCGGGCUCAACCUGGGAACUGCAUUCGAAACUGGCAGGCUAGAGUCUUGUAGAGGGGGGUAGAAUUCCAGGUGUAGCGGUGAAAUGCGUAGAGAUCUGGAGGAAUACCGGUGGCGAAGGCGGCCCCCUGGACAAAGACUGACGCUCAGGUGCGAAAGCGUGGGGAGCAAACAGGAUUAGAUACCCCGGUAGUC